rnacentral:rRNA from 1 species
GAUGAACGCUGGCGGCGUGCCUAAUACAUGCAAGUCGAGCGAACAGAUAAGGAGCUUGCUCCUUUGACGUUAGCGGCGGACGGGUGAGUAACACGUGGAUAACCUACCUAUAAGACUGGGAUAACUUCGGGAAACCGGAGCUAAUACCGGAUAACAUAUUGAACCGCAUGGUUCAAUAGUGAAAGGCGGCUUUGCUGUCACUUAUAGAUGGAUCCGCGCCGUAUUAGCUAGUUGGUAAGGUAACGGCUUACCAAGGCAACGAUACGUAGCCGACCUGAGAGGGUGAUCGGCCACACUGGAACUGAGACACGGUCCAGACUCCUACGGGAGGCAGCAGUAGAGAAUCUUCCGCAAUGGGCGAAAGCCUGACGGAGCAACGCCGCGUGAGUGAUGAAGGUCUUCGGAUCGUAAAACUCUGUUAUCAGGGAAGAACAAAUGUGUAAGUAACUGUGCACAUCUUGACGGUACCUGAUCAGAAAGCCACGGCUAACUACGU